GACGAACGCUGGCGGCGUGCCUAAUACAUGCAAGUAGAACGCACAGUUUAUACCGUAGCUUGCUACACCAUAGACUGUGAGUUGCGAACGGGUGAGUAACGCGUAGGUAACCUGCCUGGUAGCGGGGGAUAACUAUUGGAAACGAUAGCUAAUACCGCAUAAUAUUAAUUAUUGCAUGAUAAUUAAUUGAAAGGUGCAAUUGCACCACUACCAGAUGGACCUGCGUUGUAUUAGCUAGUAGGUGAGGUAACGGCUCACCUAGGCGACGAUACAUAGCCGACCUGAGAGGGUGGUCGGCCACCCUGGGACUGAGACCCGGCCCCGACUCCUUCGGGAGGCAGCAGUAGGGAAUCUUCGGCAAUGGACGAAAGUCUGACCGAGCAACGCCGCGUGAGUGAAGAAGGUUUUCGGAUCGUAAAGCUCUGUUGUAAGAGAAGAACGGGUGUGAGAGUGGAAAGUUCACACUGUGACGGUAUCUUACCAGAAAGGGACGGCUAACUACGUG
rnacentral:rRNA from 1 species